rnacentral:rRNA from 1 species
ACAGCAGUCAAGAAUAUUAGUCAAUGCUCGCAAGAGUGAACUAGCUAACUGAAAUCACAGGAUCCACUUCGUGUGGUGAAUGUUAUAACGUAAGGGAAAAAAAUGAUAUUACCUUACUAUUAGUGUUGUCCAAAACUGGUGCCAGAAGACUCGGUAAGGCCAGAGACGCAAACGUUAGUCGUCCUAAUCAGGCGUAAAGGGUAAGUAGGCUGCUUUAAAAGUUUAGUAUAAUAUUUUAAUAGCUCUGUUUUAAAAUAAAUAAAUAUCAUUUAUUUAAACAGUAAAAUAUAAAUGAAUUAAAGCUAGGAUCAAAUUGAGGAUAAUUUAAAUAAUACUUAGUGUAGGGUUUACAUCUGGUGAUACUAAGGGGAGUACUAACGGUGAAAGCUUUUUAUCUAGAAAUGAUUGACGCUGAGGAACGAAGGUGAGAAUAGGAAAUAGGAUUAGAUACCCAGAUACCUCUCACAGUCAACGAUGAAUGGUGGUUGUUAGUUAGUUUUAUUUAACUGAUAACGAUGUUAACACGAUAACCAUUCCGCCUUGCGAGUACGGUUGCAAAACUGAAACCAAAAAAAUUAGUCGGUCUCGAAGCAAACGAAGUGAAGCAUGUUAUUUAAUUCGAUAAUCCGCA